rnacentral:rRNA from 1 species
UAGCCUUGACAUUGAUGGAAUCUUUCAGAGAUGGAGGAGUGCCCUUUUUAGGGAGCCUGAAAACAGGUGCUGCACGGCUGUCGUCAGCUCGUGUCGUGAGAUGUUGGGUUAAGUCCCGCAACGAGCGCAACCCUCGUCCUUAGUUACUAACGGUUUGGCCGAGGACUCUAAGGAGACUGCCUUCGCAAGGAGGAGGAAGGUGAGGACGACGUCAAGUCAUCAUGGCCCUUACGGCUAGGGCAACACACGUGCUACAAUGGUUAGGACAAUGAGAAGCGAUACCGCGAGGUGGAGCAAAUCUAUAAACCUAAUCUCAGUUCGGAUUGUAGUCUGCAACUCGACUACAUGAAGCUGGAAUCACUAGUAAUCGUAGAUCAGCUAUGCUACGGUGAAUACGUUCCCGGGUCU